UUGUGGGUUCUUUUUUGAUGUAACAAUUUAUAUCAUAUUUUGGAAUAAAUAUAGAGUUCGGCUACAAUGCUAUCAAUAGCACCAAUCGCUUGGUGCUAUCAAAUUUUCUACUAUUAGAUUUAUCCCUUUAACCAUUUCCAUCUGUCAGAUCAUACUAUUUAACCAACCAUCUAAGCAAUCCUAAGGGAUCACUAUCAUCCUAACCACACAUUAUUUCAUCCGAGGGCUGAAAACUUAAUAGCAUUAAUGACUUAGUGCUAUUAAUAGUAUUCUAACCUCAAAUUCAUAAAUGUAUGUUUCUAUCAUAUUUUGAAAUAUAUAUAAAUCUAUUACAAUUUUAUAUCAUAUUCACCAACACUUCUACAAUUCAAGGAUAAAAUUUUUUUAAAUAAAAUUUAUUUUGCACACAAUAAUAACAAUCAAUCAAAAACUUUUUCUUUUGAUAAAGUUAAUGUGAUAAAAGAGUAAUUGCUAUGGUUUUAAAUUUAUUGAUUAAGUGAAAAGGGGAGAAUUAAAGAGAAAGUAAAAAAAAAAAAGAAAAAGAAUAGAUAAUAAGUGAUUUUAAUUUCUUGCAAUAUUUAAAUAGGGACAAAAUUUUGGUAG
rnacentral:lncRNA from 1 species